AUACCCCUCACAUAUUCCAAAAUUACUGAAGUUUUAUGCUUUAAACGAGAAACCAGCUAAGGGGUAUUUUGGUAGUUAGAUAGUUAUCUGCAGCAAAGCCACCCAGGAAGCUAACGCGACAGUUCAUAUCCUUUCAGUUUCAUAAACCCUAAUUUUGCCUCUUAAAUUUUCAACUUCCAUUGCUCUCAACCACCUCUCCCUUUCACAAAUGGCAACAUUCCGAUCUUCAUCCUCAGGGUUCGCUUUCAUCCUCCUCUUCCUUAUGACUCUAUUAUCUACUCUUAUCGUUUCGCAUCAGCAACCCCUCCUCGACUCGACCGAGCAAGACUCUGUCUACGAGGUCCUUUCCUCCAUCAACUCAGCCAUUCCUUGGCGUACUCUCUUCCCUGAUGACCUCUGCCUUUCUGCUCCUCACGGCAUCGUUUGCGACUACUUCUUUGAACAACCCAACUCCGUUUCCUCUACCCUUCCUCAAACGGCUCACGUCACUGAGCUCAAUUUCGGCUAUGUUUCCGAUUAUACGCCAAACCCGCCUUGUUCUCCGAACUCCACUCUCAACUCUCUCCUCUUCACCUCCUUUAAGUACCUUCGCAAGCUUUUUUUCUACAAGUGCUUCACUGAAACAACCGUUGUGGUGCCUAACGUUUCUUCUUCGAGUUUCGGGGCUAAUCUUGAGGAGCUUGUGUUUGUUGAAAACCCAACUUUGGUUGGGUCUCUCAGUGGCAUCAUUGGUAAUUUCACCAAUCUGAGAAGGCUAGUUUUGACUGGAAAUGGGGUCUCUGGAAAUAUCCCUGACAGGAUUGGUGAUUUGGUUAAUAUUGAAGAGAUUACACUCUCAAGAAACCAUUUAACUGGUAAUGUUCCAUUUAGUCUGUCCAAGCUGAAGAAGCUGAGAAUUCUAGAUUUGAGUCAAAACCACUUUGACGGAAAUGUCCCUGAGUCUAUAGGUAAUUUAUCUCAGAUUUUGAAGCUUGAUUUGAGCUUCAAUGGGUUUUUUGGUAAAAUUCCAUGUAGCUUGGUUAACUUACAAAGUUUGGAGUUUUUAGACCUGAGUUUUAACCGCUUUGGUAACUUUGGAGUUCCCCUGUUCAUGGGAGAAAUGCCCAGAUUGAAAGAAAUGUAUUUUAGUGGGAAUUUACUGGGAGGGCAUAUUCCAGAAAUAUGGGAGAAGCUUGGGGGUAUUUCGGGAAUAGGAUUUUCUGACAUGGGUCUGGUUGGGAAGAUUCCACCUUCCAUGGGAGUAUACUUGAGAAACUUGUGUUAUCUAAGGCUUGAUAACAACAAGCUUGAAGGGGAAGUGCCAGAGGAGUUGUGGUUUUUGGAAUUUGUCAAUGAGAUCAACUUGGAAAACAACAAUUUGAGUGGUAGAAUUCCAUUAUCUGCUACAUUUACAGCUAAGGUUGAUGAAAAGUUUAAGUUGCAAGGUAAUUCAGGGCUGUGCAUUGACAAAGGUUUUGGCUCUAAUAAAAAUGAGGGCAGCUUGGAGAAGUUGAAGUUGUGCAACAAAUCAGAUAUUCCCAAUCCUGUCCUUUUCAAAGAGUAUAAUUCUGUAUCUUCUUUAUCAUCUGUGCAGGUGUUAUCUUCUCCCCAUGGGUUAAUAACUUUGGGUUUUUACUUGUCGUUGCUUUGGUAUGUCCAGAGAUGAAGUGGCUAACAGAAGAAAGAAACAGUUUCCCCUUUCUAACUUUGCAUAGGAUUUUUGGGGGUUUAGAUCCGAAGAAGGGGUGGCAUCGAGGCAAAUAUGUAAUUAUUGCCUUUUAUGAUGACAAUUUUAAAAUUACAUAUACAGUGUUGCUUUUCAAUUUGUAAAGGCAUGGGGGAUUAUUUGAUGUAGUAGGACAUAGAUGUCAACCUCCUGUUCUUUUUAUGACAAAUGACAGUGGUGCGUGUCUGAAGGGCUGUUUGCAAAGAGGCAGGCAAUAUAUGAUUAUAAUUGAUUAAUUGACCUGAUUUGAUUGAGUUUGAUUUUUUGAACCUUGUACACAGAAAGGUUUUAAAUUUGGGUGCUUUUCCUCAUCCUUCCAAAUCAAAAUUUAAUUUUCUUUUGUUUAUUCAAUAAGAGUUUAGGUGAGGAUAGGCAAUUUAGGUCUUGGAGUAGAACCGCCAUUGCAGUGGAUUUUGCAAAAU
rnacentral:misc_RNA from 1 species